rnacentral:rRNA from 1 species
GAUGAACGCUGGCGGCGUGCCUAAUACAUGCAAGUCGAGCGAACAGAUGAGGAGCUUGCUCCUCUGACGUUAGCGGCGGACGGGUGAGUAACACGUGGAUAACCUACCUAUAAGACUGGGAUAACUUCGGGAAACCGGAUCUAAUACCGUAUGAUAUAUUGAACCGCAUGGUUCAAUAGUGAAAGACGGUGUUGCUGUCACUUAUAGAUGGAUCCGCGCUGCAUUAGCUAGUUGGUAAGGUAACGGCUUACCAAGGCAACGAUGCGUAGCCGACCUGAGAGGGUGAUCGGCCACACUGGAACUGAGACACGGUCCAGACUCCUACGGGAGGCAGCAGUAGGGAAUCUUCCGCAAUGGGCGAAAGCCUGACGGAGCAACGCCGAGUGAGUGAUGAAGGUCUUCGGAUCGUAAAACUCUGUUAUUAGGGAAGAACAAAUGUGUAAGUAACUGUGCACGUCUUGACGGUACCUAAUCAGAAAGCCACGGCUAACUACGUG